UACGGAGGGGGCAAGCGUUAUUCGGAAUCAUUGGGCGUAAAGGGCGCGUAGGCGGCUUCAUAAGUCUUGGGUGAAAGCCCUCGGCUCAACCGAGGAAUUGCCUUGGAUACUGUGAAGCUCGAGGCUGGAAGAGGGCAGUGGAAUUCCCGGUGUAGCGGUGAAAUGCGUAGAUAUCGUAAGGAAGACCAGUGGCGAAGGCGGGUCGUCUGGACAGUUCCUGACGCUGAGGCACGAAGGCCAGGGGAGCAAACGGGA
rnacentral:rRNA from 1 species